ACUAUGAUCCGACUCUUGGAUCCUCUACUCGCAAACGUUUGGACGACCAAACCAAUAGCGU
rfam:Candidatus Saccharibacteria bacterium RIFCSPHIGHO2_12_FTLL_44_22 rifcsphigho2_12_scaffold_398, whole genome shotgun sequence.